rnacentral:rRNA from 1 species
UACGUAGGGGGCGAGCGUUAUCCGGAUUUACUGGGUGUAAAGGGAGCGUAGACGGCAUGGCAAGUCUGGAGUGAAAGCCCGGGGCCCAACCCCGGGACUGCUCUGGAAACUGCCAGGCUAGAGUACAGGAGGGGCAGGCGGAAUUCCUAGUGUAGCGGUGAAAUGCGUAGAUAUUAGUAGGAACACCGGUGGCGAAGGCGGCUUACUGGACCGCGACUGACGUUGAGGCUCGAAAGCGUGGGGAGCAA